rnacentral:lncRNA from 1 species
GGAGCCUCACCAUCUUUGUCAUGCUCAGCUAAAGUUUGAGCAUUUUCUUUUGUGACCUCAUCUUUCACCUCCUCUGCAACCACUUCUGUUGCAGGUGCAAUAACUUCUUCAGUUUUCACCAACUCCUCUGCAAUUUCAGCAACAGUUUCACUCUCUUUUUUAGGUACCUCGCUGUCUUUUUCCGUCUCUACCAAAGUUGGUACCUCUGGUUUUGCAACAUCCUCUUUCUCCUCCUUAAACAGUGGUUUUUCCAAUUCAAAGCUUCUCACAGUUGUAAUUACUUCCGAACUUACUGAAUCAUCACCAACUGUAGUACUAGGGCUUUCCACUGUCUUUGGGUCCUCUCUAUCUUUGGCGGCCUCUUCCAAUUUUGGACCUUCAGCUUUAUUUCCUGGGACAAACGCUUCUGGUUUCACAAAAUCAUCAGCAAGUUCAGCACUAAGAAUGUUCUCUGUUGUUGGAGCCUCACUAUCUUUGUCAUGCUCAGCAAAAGUUGAAACAUUUUCUUUUGUGACCUCAUCUUUCACCUCCUCUGCAGCCACUUCUGUUGCAGGUGCAAUAACUUCUGAUGAUUUCACCGACUCCUCUGCAAGUUCAGCAACAGUUUCACUCUCUUUUUUAGGUACCUCGCUGUCUUUUUCCGUCUCUACCAAAGUUGGUACCUCUGGUUUUGCUACAUCCUCUUUCUCCUCCUUAANN